rnacentral:lncRNA from 1 species
UUUAGUAAACGAGCUGAACACGAGCUGGAUUUUUCAGCUCGUUUAAUAAAUGAGCCGAACACGAGCUGGGGUCAACUCGCUUGUGUUCGGCUCGAUAACAGCUCGAAUACACAUAUUUUAUAUUUAUAUAAUUUAUUUAAUUUAUAUUUUUAUAUAUAAAUAAAUAAUUGUAUAUAAUAUAUAUUUUUAUUAUUUAAAUUUUAGCAAAAUAAAAAUAUAAAUGGAGCUUAAUUAUAAAAAGAUUCAUUUAUAUAUAAAGUUUCAACUAUUAGAUCAAAGUCUAAUGGAUAAGAUUUUAUAAAUUUAUAUUUUAUAUAUAUUUAAUCUAAUUUUUUUUAAUUUAUUGUUCGUUGGCCAGCUCGUGAGCCAGCUUGUGUUCGGCUCAUUAAUAAACGAGCCGAACACGAGCUGAAUUUUUCGGCUCGAUACUUUAACGAGCCAGCUCGUGUUCGGCUCGUUUAAUAAACGAGCCGAACACGAGCCGACCCCAGCUCGCUCGUGUUCGGCUCGUUUACACCCCUAGGGUCGGGUAAUACUAUGCCAAGCCCAGCCCAAAUAAAAAUGUUGGGCUUCGGGUCGGGCUUUUAACCAAUUUUUUUUGAAAAUUAAGGCCUGGCC